rnacentral:lncRNA from 1 species
AAUUAUAAUACAUUGUCUUAUCGGGUCCUUUUAUAGCUGACUAUGCGGUAUGGGCUUUGCUCAUUAUUGAAGGCCGUACGGUGACCUAUAGUUGUUAAUGUCUGUGUCAUUUUGGUCUCUUGUGGACAGUUGUCUCAUUGGCAAUCAUCCCACAUCUUCUUUUUUAUAUAUAUAUAUACUUAUAUACUUGUUCUAAAAACUAAUUUUAAGAAACUUUCCGGGCAUUUUCCGACGCCUAGUAUGCGAGCAAUAUGGCCCUUAGAGCCCUAAAAGGUAACUUUGUUAAUUUUCUUUCAGUCUUUUUUUCUCCCAGCUUGUACAUGUACAUUAUU